rnacentral:siRNA from 1 species
AACAGAUUUGUUUUUAGUGAUGAC